UGUCCUUAAGUUUUAGAUAUUCCAAUAUAUUACAUCGUAAACGGCCUUAUGAGCACUACGAAUGGGGCCGAUACAUGGGUGUCAAAACCGCAUUUAGUUACACCGCUGCGCUCAGUCGUGUGACGAAUUGCGCAGUGAAAAGAUGUCACGCAGCAUAACACAAAAAUGCCUAAUUGCGUUGUAAAAGGUUGAAAAAACCAUUAUAAAAAGUGUGAGAAGAAAGAUGGGAUCUCAUAUCAUCGGUAAGUCAUUUCCAAUUACGUUUAUUUAUUGCUUGAAACAAAUUUUGAAGGAUAAUUUUAUUUCAUUCUCACGCGCAACCGAUGUUCGCUCGUACGUCAUGACGCUUAUGCAUUAACCUUGUAAGAACGUCAUUUCUUUCGUCGUAUUUGUGAGUUAUUAUGAAGUAGAAAUGCAUUGUGCGUUAUUUACAUUAUAUAUGGAUAAAUAUAUGUACUUAAUAUGAUUACCUACCGUAUAUAAUUACCGAAAUUAAAGUAUUACCUGUCUUAUAGAGUUAUUUCCCGUUUCUUUUACAUAAUGAUUAAAAACAUUCAAAAUAACAAGAACACGGGUUUGUUAUUGUUUUAUUCGUUGACUUGGGUAUAUAUUUAUUCUUAUCAUGUAUAAAACUUAGGUUAAAGUAUAAAACUCCAUAAAUCCAUAUUAUGCAUUUUAACCAGUGGUUCGUCACUAGCCACGGACACGGGCUCAUGCUGUUUCAUAUUUUUCUACAUUGUCACAUUAAUACUCGUACAUUUUAAUACAAGAAAUACAAUAUUACUGCUCCGUCUGUGACGCCCUUAAACGUAACCCGCGUUGCGUUAGCCUUGUAUGUACGCCCGUACAAAGUUAUCGCUUCGAGCGCUUGGUAGGCGGGAUAUGGGCGGUGCUCACGAGGUUCUACUUCAAGGCCGCAAUGGCAAUUCGUAUGCAAGGGCUUAUCUCUAGUUUAUAUCUAUGAUUCCUUACGUUUUUAGUCUGUUGAAACAUCAUACCUACCCUAAAGCUGACAUGAAUAAUAGGAACAACUGCGGGUAUUCCGAUAAACCUGCGUAGCUACAUGUUGAUAUAAUUGCUAGGCAAUCUCCCUGCGACCAAGAAACAUGAACGUAAUGUUAAGGUCAGAAAAGAAGAGCAAGUGCACGCAACUUACCCGGAAUUCACCGAGUUAUCUACUUCAGGCCACGAGAGCCGCCUCUUGCAGAAGGCCAUGGUGGGCUUCUCUGGUGGCGGCGGUUGGCGAGGCACGCGCAGCGACCCGCCUCGGCGGACCGGCGCCGCUGGGGCCAGGCAGUCCAGCGUGCGGCGCCGCGUGCUCAGAGCCGACGCGCCCUCCGUUGGCACCACUCGGGGAAAACCUACACAUCAAAAUAUUUUUCUCACAAAUGAUAGGCUAGGUUGAUCUGCUAAGUUAUCAGCCAAAAAUUAAAAAGUUAAAAACA